AUCAGCUUAACCUGAAAUAAAACAAAUUAAAUUUAGAUCUAGUUUGUAAGGUUUAAUUUGUAGUUUUUUGUAAAUUUAUUGAGAAAGUAACGUUUUGUUUGCAACUGUCCUGCUCACCCAAAAUGUAAAGCUUAAUAUGCAAUUUGCAUAAUAUAUUCUGUACACCAUUCACUGGAUCAACGCAAGAAUCGCCCUUGACAAUUUUCGCAUCAGCGUUGACAUGUGGUUCCCAAUGGUGCAGCUGGUCACGAGUGACAUUUCGUGACAGGAUGUUGGUCCUUGGACAUCCUGUGGGUGGCCCCAAUAGGACAUGCGACAUUUAAUUGCAUACUCGGAUAAAUAAAUGUUCAAUUCGUUGGCCUUCUUUAGCUUCUGGUGGGCCAGUUUACAUUUUGUAAAUUAAUGUAUUAAUUUAUGGCUGCUUACUUUGACACAGCUUUAUAA